rnacentral:lncRNA from 1 species
CACGAUAGAGGGACUGUAUCAUACACUAACUACAACUAGAGGUUCAUCAUUCCAUUCUGCUGGGUUGCCACUACAUGCUGCUAGGUGUCACUGGUGGAUUGUGAGACUCAAAGGCAUUCACUUGGUGAUCAGUGAACCCGAAUGAGAAGAGUUGGAAUUGUUCCAAUCCAUUGAAAGGAGUUUUCAAUGAUAUUGUGAUAGAGAUCGUAAUAUAUCUCACUACCAGACAGAAUAGAACCUAUGGGGUCACACACAUUACAGAUAUUGACUGAUCCGAUGGUUGAAUUGUGAUUAGGAAUCACAAAUAAUUUAUAAUUAUCAAUUUGAUUGAUAACUAGCAAGUUGAAGAAGGAAUAAUUACAAUUUGAUUGUAAUUUAAUUUAAUUAAUUGGAUUUAAUUAAUUGGACUUGAUCAUAUUAGACACGAGUCCUACUUGGAGUAGGAUUCUAAGAAUCCUAAUUAGAUUAG